rnacentral:rRNA from 1 species
UACGAGGGGGGCAAGCGUUGUUCGGAAUUAUUGGGCGUAAAGGGCGCGUAGGCGGUGUCGCAAGUCCGUGGUGAAAUCUCUAGGCUCAACUUAGAGACUGCCGCGGAAACUGCGGUGCUUGAGUGUGGGAGAGGUGCGUGGAAUUCCCGGUGUAGCGGUGAAAUGCGUAGAUAUCGGGAGGAACUCCUGUGGCGAAAGCGGCGCACUGGACCACAACUGACGCUGAGGCGCGAAAGCUAGGGGAGCAAACAGG